AGAGUUUGAUCCUGGCUCAGAACGAACGCUGGCGGCAUGCCUAACACAUGCAAGUCGAACGCCAUGGUUUCGGCCAUGGAGUGGCGCACGGGUGAGUAACGCGUGGGAACCUGCCCAGCAGUAUGGGACAACCGCGGGAAACUGCGGCUAAUACCGUAUACGCCCCUGCAAGGGGGGAAAGAUUGAUCGCUGUUGGAGGGGCCCGCGUCGGAUUAGGUAGUUGGUGGGGUAACGGCCUACCAAGCCUGCGAUCCGUAGCUGGUCUGAGAGGAUGAUCAGCCACACUGGGACUGAGACACGGCCCAGACUCCUACGGGAGGCAGCAGUGGGGAAUAUUGGACAAUGGGCGCAAGCCUGAUCCAGCAAUGCCGCGUGAGUGAUGAAGGCCUUAGGGUUGUAAAGCUCUUUCACGCGCGACGAUGAUGACGGUAGCGUGAGAAGAAGCCCCGGCUAACUCCGUGCCAGCAGCCGCGGUA
rnacentral:rRNA from 1 species